rnacentral:rRNA from 1 species
CCUACGGGGCGCAGCAGUGAGGAAUAUUGGUCAAUGGUCGGGAGACUGAACCAGCCAAGCCGCGUGAGGGAUGAAGGUACAGAGUAUCGUAAACCUCUUUUGUCAGGGAACAAAGGCGGGGACGUGUCCCCGGAUGAGUGUACCUGAAGAAAAAGCAUCGGCUAACUCCGUGCCAGCAGCCGCGGUAAUACGGAGGAUGCGAGCGUUAUCCGGAUUUAUUGGGUUUAAGGGGUGCGCAGGCGGUCUGUAAAGUCAGCGGUCAAAGUCCGGGGCUCAACCCCGCCCCGCCGUUGAAACUGGCAGUCUCGAGUUGGAGAGAAGUAUGCGGAAUGCGCGGUGUAGCGGUGAAAUGCAUAGAUAUCGCGCAGAACUCCGAUUGCGAAGGCAGCAUGCCGGCUCCACACUGACGCUGAGGCACGAAAGCGUGGGUAUCGAACAGGAUUAGAUACCCUUGUAGUC